rnacentral:rRNA from 1 species
UACGGGGGGGGUAAGCGUUGUUCGGAAUUACUGGGCGUAAAGGGCGCGUAGGCGGCCAUCUAAGUCAGACGUGAAAUCCCCCGGCUUAACCUGGGAACUGCGUCUGAUACUGGACGGCUAGAGUAUGGGAGAGGGAUGUAGAAUUCCAGGUGUAGCGGUGAAAUGCGUAGAUAUCUGGAGGAAUACCGGUGGCGAAGGCGGCAUCCUGGACCAUUUACUGACGCUGAGGCGCGAAAGCUAGGGGAGCAAACGGG